UAAGUUUAAGAUUCAAAUUAGUGAGGUGAUUUGCAUGGACAACUGGUGGUACAAAAGUUGCAAGGAUUGCUGAAAAAAGGUUCAAGCAUAGGGAGACACUUAUUACAAAAACUUGCAUCUCAUAGUUACUCCACACAAGUAACACACACAAAAGUACAGGAUAUGUACAGUUACACACAUCCCCCCUACUGUUAUGCGUGUAUGUCUCAUAGUUAGACAUUAAUAUGUAUGCUAAACUUUGUUAGUAGUGUACUAAUUGCUUGAUUUAUUCAAAACAAGAUAACUAUACAGAUGGUGUACAGGUUAAUCAUGAAAAUAUACAUCGAAUUCUGUUACCUUUUUAAGUUGAUUGCCAAUUAUGGAAGGGCCACUUUUAUAGGAUGUAACUAAGCAGUCAUACACAGGGAUGUUCAUAGUUUGAUUUGUAAGAGUAUGGGAAGUGACAAAAUUGACUUGGUGUUGUUGGAGCAUCAAGUUGUUACCCUACAUAUGUCAUGUUCCAUAUAACGAGAAGAGAACACAUUUUUUGUGUUUGUUUUAAACUGGCACUACCAUUUACAUUAUGUAAUAUCCGUAUCUACUAUGUAUCCAUUUAUUUAGGGGGGAACAAUGGAAGAACUGGUACCAGAAAGAAGACUGAUGCAAUUUAAGGAUCAGCUAACAAAGGGUUGCAUAAACACACAGUUGAAAACUUCAGCUUAUAUGAUGCUAGACAAAGCUCAGGCGUUUGGAUCACCUCUUAGGCUAUGCUUUACAUACCAGACCAGGGGUGAACAAAAUAGUACCCCAGCAAGAAAAUUUUCCACUGUUUCCUCACAAUGCGCCUUGCUGGAGGCUUGAGCAGAGCAGAACACUAUACUUUCAGAUGUUUAUUGGAUUUACUGUUGAAGUUACCGACAUGUAAACAACUUCAUCUAGCAGUCAAAAGGAGACACACAAUGUCUACAUAAGACAGCGGUCGUGUGCUGUGGUCAUGCUCUGGGGAGCACAUGCCCUUGCUGUCCAAGCUACUGGAUUACGGGAUGCCUCUGUAGAGAGCCACAGGUAGCACUCUUUGUUGGCGUUACUGUAGGUCAUUUCUUAGGUGGGUCAUUUUUGCUCUACUAAGGAUGGAUUUAUUACUUCUUUGUUGAUUGUCAGCUCACGCUGUGUCGAUCUGUCUUACACCACAUGCUUGCUUGCAUUUAAAUUAUUGUGAGCUACCAAAUGGUACAUUAAUGUUCCUACUCCAGAA